UACGUAGGGUGCGAGCGUUGUCCGGAAUUAUUGGGCGUAAAGAGCUCGUAGGCGGUGUGUCACGUCGGCCGUGAAAACCUGCAGCUUAACUGUGGCGUGCGGUCGAUACGGGCAUCACUGGAGUUCGGCAGGGGAGACUGGAAUUCCUGGUGUAGCGGUGGAAUGCGCAGAUAUCAGGAGGAACACCGAUGGCGAAGGCAGCUCGCUGGGACGGUACUGACGCUGAGGCGCGAAAGCGUGGGAGCGAACAGG
rnacentral:rRNA from 1 species